rnacentral:rRNA from 1 species
AUUGAACGCUGGCGGCAGGCCUAACACAUGCAAGUCGAGCGGAUGACGGGAGCUUGCUCCUUGAUUCAGCGGCGGACGGGUGAGUAAUGCCUAGGAAUCUGCCUGGUAGUGGGGGACAACGUUUCGAAAGGAACGCUAAUACCGCAUACGUCCUACGGGAGAAAGCAGGGGACCUUCGGGCCUUGCGCUAUCAGAUGAGCCUAGGUCGGAUUAGCUAGUUGGUGGGGUAAUGGCUCACCAAGGCGACGAUCCGUAACUGGUCUGAGAGGAUGAUCAGUCACACUGGAACUGAGACACGGUCCAGACUCCUACGGGAGGCAGCAGUGGGGAAUAUUGGACAAUGGGCGAAAGCCUGAUCCAGCCAUGCCGCGUGUGUGAAGAAGGUCUUCGGAUUGUAAAGCACUUUAAGUUGGGAGGAAGGGCAGUAAGCGAAUACCUUGCUGUUUUGACGUUACCGACAGAAUAAGCACCGGCUAACUCUGUGCCAGCAGCCGCCGUAAUAC